UACAGAGGGUGCGAGCGUUAAUCGGAAUUACUGGGCGUAAAGCGUGCGCAGGCGGUGCUGUAAGACAGGCGUGAAAUCCCCGGGCUUAACCUGGGAAUGGCGCUUGUGACUGCAGUGCUGGAGUGCGGCAGAGGGGGAUGGAAUUCCGCGUGUAGCAGUGAAAUGCGUAGAUAUGCGGAGGAACACCGAUGGCGAAGGCAAUCCCCUGGGCCUGCACUGACGCUCAUGCACGAAAGCGUGGGGAGCAAACAGG
rnacentral:rRNA from 1 species